rnacentral:rRNA from 1 species
UGGGGAAUAUUGCACAAUGGAGGGAACUCUGAUGCAGCAACGCCGCGUGCGGGAUGACGGCCUUCGGGUUGUAAACCGCUUUCAGCCAUGACGAAGCUUUUGUGACGGUAGUGGUAGAAGAAGCACCGGCUAACUACGUGCCAGCAGCCGCGGUGAUACGUAGGGUGCGAGCGUUGUCCGGAAUUAUUGGGCGUAAAGAGCUUGUAGGCGGUUUGUCGCGUCGAUAGUGUAAACACGCAGCUUAACUGUGUGCCUGCUGUCGAUACGGGCUGACUAGAGGAGGGUAGGGGAGAAUGGAAUUCCCGCUGGAGCGGUGGAAUGCGCAGAUAUCGGUAGGAACACCAGUGGCGAAGGCGGUUCUCUGGACCUUUCCUGACGCUGAGAAGCGAAAGCGUGAGUAGCAAACAGG